UGGUAGGGAUAUUUAUUGGGCCUACAGCAUUCGUAGCCGGCUAGGUAAAUCCCCCGUUAAAUCCAAUGACUUAAUCGUUGGACUGCGUGGGACACUGCUUGGCUAGGGGGCGGGAGAGGCCGACGGUAUUCUCGGGGUAGGGGUGAAAUCCUAUAAUCCCGGGAGGACCACCAGUGGCGAAG
rnacentral:rRNA from 1 species